rnacentral:rRNA from 1 species
GAUGAACGCUGGCGGCGUGCCUAAUACAUGCAAGUCGAGCGAACGGACGCGAAGCUUGCUUCUCUGAUGUUAGCGGCGGACGGGUGAGUAACACGUGUAUAACCUACCUAUAAGACGGGGAUAACUUCGGGACACCGGCGCUUAUACCAGAGAAUCUUUUGAACCGCAGUGGUCAAUGGUAAAAGACGGUCUUGGUGUAUGUUCUAGCUGCUUACCCGCUGUAUUGUGGAGUUGGGAAGGUCACGGCGUACCAAGGCGACGAUGCAUGACAGACCUGAGAGGGUGAUCGGCCAGCCUGGGACGGAGACACGGCACAGACUGCUACGGGAGGCAGCAGGAGGGAAUCGGCCGCAAUGGGCGAGAGCCUGACGGAGCAACGCCGCGGGAGGGAGGAAGGUCUUCGGGUCGGAAAACUCGGUUAUUAGGGAAUAACAUAUUUGUAAGUAACUGUGAACAUCUGUACGGGACCUAGGCAGAAAGGCACGGCUAACUACGUU